CUUUUUAUUUAUUGUAUGCUGUUCUAGUUGUUUGAUAGCCUAUUUCAUCUGCAACCCAAUCGACAAAUGCCUAUUGAAAAUGUAAAAUAAAUAGUUUAUAAAAAGCAUACACAGUAAAAUGGGAUAAUAAAUAGAGGUAAUUCUGGUGAAAUAAUGAAUUAAUGAUGGGUUGUUAUUGUUAAAAACAUGACUUAAAUGAAUUGGAAAUAGCGGAACCUUUACUGUGAUAAUUACGAUUUGGGACUUUUAUUUUGAAACCGGCUGUGGCUUCCCUUGGAACCGUUCACUUCAGUCUGUCGUCUGCCGAGCCAGUCGAAUUUUCUUUGGAGCUAGAAACAAUCAAAAGAAAAUAUUUCGUUUUUUAUGAAGUUUAAGUUUCCUUUUGGAGUACGGAGCGUCCAGCUCUGUGAAUGAUGUAAGUUUUGAAGACUAGAGGCUUCCUUUCAUCGAGUAUUUGUUUUGUUUCAAUUCGCCUUAUUCACCCGGAACUUUCUAAAGACGUUGAUGGGUACACUUCAGGGGUACACCCGGCUGCACACCAGCUGUUUGGCGCCUCACUGCUGUGUAGUCCUACGUCCUCAAAGAGAAACAAAUCCUACCGUGGACAGACUUUCCACCGUUUCGCCAAAGAGCAGGCACUUCGGCGUGAAUGAAUUAAUCACAUCAAGAAGGAUCCUGGUCCAUAUUUCAAGAUCAACGCUGAGACCGAGGUUUGAUCUGAGCACGUUGAGAAGCAAUGCUUUGUUAAGGUCACCCGUGGUAUGACAACGCUAAUAAAGGAUGCUGUGCCUGCCAACUUUGUUCGCCUGGACUUCAAAGAAGCCAAAGAGGAGAAUCAUCAUUCGCAUACCGUGUAUGGAUUCCAUGGAGUAUUCCAUCGAGUAUUUAUUCUGUUUCAAUCGUCUUGGUGAAGUUUUUGAGCUGGAUCUGGAUUCUGCUGAGGAUUCGUCGACUACUAGAUGGCGAGCCACCCACUCAUUCGAAUGUGAUCCUGUUCUACAUUGUGCAUGGCAUAUUUGGUAGGAUUGUGGCCUGCUCGUGUCACAUCACUGACUAUGACUGACUUCAACGCCUUGAACUGAACUGCUUGAAAGGAGCUAUUUUUCUUUUUGAACAACUUAAAGGAACUCUCUACAUCGUCUCUUUUGAGGAUUUAAAGGACUAUUUCCAAUUUUUGAAGGACAAUUAAAUUUGUUUUUUUUUUAAAUGUUCAAACCUUUUUUUUGGGGGGGGGGGUAAUUGUAAAUAUUUAAACUUUUCAAUCUCUGACUUGUGAUGUUUUUAUUUCAUUUUGUUAAUGCCCAUUUUAUUAUUUUUCCCUAUAUCCUAUGUUUGUAUAUAAGAAUGUCAUUCUUCAUUAGGGUUGCAUACAAUAUUUUCUAUGGAUACAUGAUUAUUUAUAAUGAUAAAUAAAUAAUAAUAAUUAUUAUUAUUAUUAUUUAUGCAAGAUGGACAUUUGACACGAACAUUAUGGUUUUCCCUGUUCAUUUUGCUUUCGAUAUCCUUUCCUUUUUGUUUUGGACUGUUUCAAUUCACGGGACGUCACUUUAAUCCUCCAAAGGACAUUUUUGGAGUGAAGCGGCCAACUCUCUUGAAUUACUGCUCUUGUCGGCUUGCGCUCGCCUCUGUGGAUCUAAUAAGGACAUAAAAGGACAGAAACUUAA